GUUUCCUUGUUCUGACUAUCACUUGAACGUGGCAAUAAUACCACAAUGACAGAAGACUGUCCCAGUCAACACAUGAAACUACUUUCCUUCCGUGGUGACAUUCUCACAUUUCAAUACUAACGCUCCAUUCCCAGAGAUGGCGAAAGUUGAAGAGGAUCAGAACUGGCUUUCAGCAGACUGACAUUUCAAUGGAUGGCUGUACUUUCUCAAACGGUAAUGGUGGUAAUAUGGCUGUUAUCAACAGAAAGAGUUAAUCAGAUGUUGAUAUGGUGGCAUGCAUCUUUGCCCUACAUGUGGGAAACAGUGACUUCACCAUGCAUUUUACUGAUAAGUAGGGGGAUGUGUUCAAGUACAGGCUUCUCACUCUGAGCAGGUCAAAUAGAUAAGAGCCACAUAUGGAGUUUAAACUACCAUACCGGAUUAAAGGAAAUGUUACUGUCUUGAAGGGCCCUAGUGUAAUAUGGAGCCAUGAAGGUGUUGUCUUUUACAUUUCUCUACAAGCAGGUGAAGUUAGACAAAUGCCUAUCAAGCUCGCUCUGAACUUUAUUGGUGAGGAUCCCCUCAACAAAAGGAAAAUAUUCAUACUAGAUUCCCAAACACUAUCCAAAGAAUGCCUGAAUGAUCAAUUGGACUUUCCAGGGAGGAGCAAAACCCUGGGGUAUUUUGUAGAGGAAGGACAAGUAUUUAACGGUGCUCUGAUCUUACCUCAUGCCUACAGUUCCAUCACACCGUGUAGAUUUGUGAUUUCAGCUGAAGAGGUGAACAGUGUGUCAAAAUCAACUGGUGGCAGCGACCAGUAAAAAGCAGUUGCUGUAUUUGAAAGGUAUGCCAGGUUUCCUUUUGAAGAACCUCAUCACAUUCAGAUGGUCAACACUGGACGGAAUGGAUGUCUGUUUGCCAUCUCUUUCAACCAUGUGCAGUCUGUGCAGUAUGGAAAGACACUUUUCAGGUAGCAUCAUGCUGGUUGGGUGUGAGCUCCCUCCGUGAGGAUGACGUUGUGAACUGUGGAACAGAUCAGAUACUGCUGGUCUUUGGAAGCCAGAGCCCUACUGUGGGUCCAGUGGAUCAAUACCUCAUCACAGAUCUCUGCGGGACAACCUAUUCUGAGAGACGCUGUACUUUUCUGCUCUUCUUUACCAGUCUUAUAACACCCUACUUAUAACCUAGUUCUGAUGUGUGAAGAUUGUUGUAUGUUUCAGCAUGGACAUGGGAGCGGUGAAGGACGGACCAUAUCUGACACAGCUCAAGAGAACUACCUCCUAACUGUCAAAACUCUACAGGACAGACUACAGAGGGGUCUGACCUUGCUCUGGGUUCUUCAGAGAGAUGUAAGGGUAAAAGAGAGGAUUCUACACCAGUCAGUCUAAGCCCUUACAGAAGAGGUCUCAGGAAGAGAACACAUUCUCACCCAGACAGAGCAGGUGAUUGUCAAUCGCAGAGUCAUGCUUAUC